CAGUGGAGCAGCCUCCUGGCGCUGCUUGCCAUAGGGCACCUUGAUAGGGGGCCGCUUGGUGACUGCCGCUACUAGGAAAUUCAUCAGGACGUCCACACAGGUGGGUGCCUCAUCUGCCAGGGUCCUCAGAGCCUUGGGCAGGGAGUGGGUGAAGAGAGUGUGGUAAUACCUGGGCAAAGGGAAAAGACAGGGAGAGGCUGCAGCCAAAUUCAUCCCCAGGCCCCAUUCUCCUCCCUCCUGACCUCACCUCUCCCUUUGACCCCCAUCCCCAAGCCUCUGAGCCUGGCUGCCUCAGAAAGCUCCCAUCCCUGGCAUGAACAGCUCUCCACUGUGCUGUGUGCCCCGUGGCUCAUCUGCAGUCAGUGGUGUGUUCCCUGCCCUCUCCCUCACAGCUCCUUGGGGCACCCAUCCUUGGGCUCUGAGCGCUGAACCCAGAGCCAGAAUUAGAUGGGUUCGGAUCAGCUGGUUUCAAAGCCAUCAAACAUGGAAGCCCAAAGAACAGUUGUGGAUGAACCAGGCUGGUACUGCUUUGGCCUCCCCAAGAGACACCUGCUUUUCACAUGGCUGCAUCGAUUUCCAUGGGGAAAAGGCAACAGAAUCUUGGGACUUACAGAAGAAGGCAGCAAGAACACUUGGAAAUUGUCCCCAUUCCUCCCCUCAAAAUGAGUGGUCAUCCUUGGGGUCUGGAAGUCUUCAGGGCCCUGCCCUGUCCUUGCCCCCACCCUGGAUCCCAGGACUCCAGCUGGGAAGGGGGCAGACCUGGGCACAGUGCUGGGAGCCUGCCACCGCCUGGAUGAGCUUCAGAGGGGGCUGACCUGGGGGCCCCACCCAGAUCAGGGCGCUGAAUCUGCCCUCAGGGCGGGAGCCUGGGGGAAUGAGACACAGGCUAUUAGGGUGGGAGGGAACAGAACCCCAUGAAGAGCGACCUGAGUAGAGAAUCCCGGGGGCCAGGAGAAAUGUCAGGGCUUGGGAAGGGUCUUGGUGGGGCUCUCCAGAUGAGGCUGGGGCAGCCCUAGGUAGAGCUGAGGGGACUUCAGGUUGUCCCAUCCCAGGGCAUACCCUGUUGCAGGUGGUAGAAGGGGAAGUCCUGGGGGCUUGUGGAAAAAGUAGACAGGGCCAGGAGUGCCCCCGGGGGGCUGUUCCACAGCAGUGAGGGGUGAGCUGAUGUUCCAAAGAUCCGGUCCUGAAUAACCUGAAAUGAGAGAGGAGCUGAGCAGAGCGAGUGGCCUGUGUGUCCAUGGCCACACCUCCCCUUCCAGGCUCUGGGGAGGGUGGCAACUGCAUCACCAGUCCUCUGGGGUCAGAAGCUGAGGUCUAGAGUACGGGGCACUCCAUGAUGUUGCUCCAGAGGUGGGAGAUGGUGGCAGGGUCACUGCUUCCCCUCCCUUCCUCACUCAUGACAGAUGUCACUAACGGGUCAUGACACUUUUCAGGACUCAGAAUCCCUCCAAACAUAGCACCCCAGGCAGCCGUCAGUGGUCAAUUGGCAUUGGCACGUGCUUUGAAAUCUAUUUGCUACAGCGGUCUUCUCUACAGAUGGGGAAACUGAGGCCAAGAUUGGAGAAGAAACUUGCCCCAAAUCUCACAGCCAAGUCUCAGAUUCAUCCCAGGACCAUCUUCAAGGAGUGGGGGUGUCCCUGAACACUGGGACAGAGAAGUAUGGAGAGGUGACAGGGAUGGAGCAGGAGUCAAGGGCCAGGACCCCCAUCAGGUGAGCCCCCUCACCUCCAGAGUGGUAUGGAUAACCUUCUCCACCGAGGAGAAGUAGGCAUCCCAUAGAAACUGGGUCUGCUGACGCAGGGCGAGGACCCGUGCAGGGGACAUCUCCUGGAGGGCAGCCAGGACCUGGGGCAGAGAGAGAUAAAAGUGCCAGAUAAUAGAGCAAUUUUGAGCCCAGGAAGUUGAGGCUGCAGUGAGCCAUAUUUAUGCCACUGCACUCCAGCCCGAGCAACAGAGCAAGACCCUAUCUCAAAAAAAAAAAAAAAAAAGAAGAAGCAGCGUUCAGGGGUCACACAGAGUUGGGCCUGAAUGCCAUUUGGUAACCAUGUGACUGUGGUCGAGCUGUUUAACCUCUCUGAGUAUUUGCUCAUUAAUUGCUUAGUACAUUGUAGAGGCUCAAUAAAUAAAUGGUAAUUACUAUUAACCCCCUCUACCAUUCUCAGGGGAUUCAAGGCAGGUCACACAUGUAUUUUUCAGAGCUGGACAGAAUUCGUUUCAUCAGAUGGAAAAGUCUCCAUGCGUUUUGCUUUCCCACUCCAGUCCCCAUGGAGGCGCUCUGAGUCUGAAUUGUUUUGUAGCCUUCCCCUAAAUUGGUAUUUAAGCAGUCACAGGCCAUUGGAGCUGGGCCCAUGGGGAUUGUCUGGUCUAGCUCAUCCUGUUGUGGAGAUGGGAAAACUGAGGCUGCAAGAGGAUCAGGACUUGCUCUCAGAGCCCUUAGGAAUCUCUAGCUCCAUCGGAUCCUCUGGGAGCCCCAGAGGGGAGACUUGGUGCUGGGAGAAAUUCAUCAGUAUCCAUACAAGGCAGAUAGGAAUGAGGACUGAGGCCAGCCUCGAUUCAGGAUUCUGGGUCCCUCCCCUGUCCUGGGUCCAGUUCCCACCCUGUGGGCAGGGCUCUGAGCUACCUGAAGCGGGAGCCUCUCAUCAGCUACGAUGGCUGCCUUGGUCCAGUCGAUGACCUCGGAGAAGGGCAGCUCCCAGCGGGGGCUGAGAAGCACUGGGAUGCAGCCGGCCUGGGGGGCGGGGAGGUCACUGGGGAGCCCAGCCCCACCCUGCACAUACUCACCCCCCACCCAGUUCCAAGUCAGUAACUGCUGCUAUUGGGGGGAAGGGGCAAAGAGGACAGGAACAUGGGGUGUCUCAGGGAAGAGAGGUUAUGGUUGUUCUGCAGAGUGUGCAGUGAAUGGGGACACAGGCACACCUGAGUCCAGGAGUAAAGGAGCAGGCAGCUCACUGCCCCUUCUCAUUGGCCUGGACCCAGCCAGCUCGUGAGUGCUGGGGGACAGAGGACAGGUGAUGCUCAAAUUGGGGUCGUACCUGCAGGGCUUGGAGGAAGCGCGAGGCAGCUUCUGGACGGUGGCCAGAGAUGAGGCAGAAGGUGGCAUUGGGCAGAGUCUCCCCGCGCUGGGUCCUAAAGAGGCACACAGGAAGGUCCCGGUACACAUGAGCUUAGACAGUGCCCUUCGCCCCACCGGGCUCCCUCAAUGGGAGCACCCCACACCCCUGCACCCCACACCCACACUACCAAAUGUGCAAACCCACUCAUGCAUAUGCACAGUCGCACACUGACACACUAACACAAACACAAGCCUCACACCGGCCACGCGUCUGUGGUUGGAAUAGGAGGCAGGAGCCCUGCAUUCUAGCUCUGCCUCUUCCCUCAGUGGCUUUAGAAACCUCCCUUGCCUUUCUCUGACCUCAGUUUCCUCAUCUGUAAAAUGGGAGGCAGAGGGCGCUGAUGUUUCCAAGGCCCUGCCUGACUUAGACAUGCACGUCUGCCCUCCCCAACUUGGCCACAGGCAGACUUUCAGCACCCCUUGCCUGCGUGGCCUCUGAGCCCAGCCCUCCCCAACGCUGAAAGCCAGGCCCAAGAAAGGCUCCUCUGUCAUGAGGUGGGCUGGGCCCCCAGCCUGGAACCACACAGGAAGCUGCUGCCCAGAGGCCCCCUGGCCCAGAGGACAGGCUUCCUCUGUUCCUCCCACCUACCCCCCCACCGCCACAGCCCAGGGCCACACUCAGGCUGUGUGUGCCUGUGGGGGAGGGCAGGAGUCCCAGCCUCCUCAGAGCCACCCCCAGCAAUUGUGCACCGAGGGGACCAUCGCCUGUGACCCAGUCAGGGGAGGGAUAAAGGGAGGGACCAAGACACAGGCCUGCUCAGUGUGGGACUCAUGACUAUGGCUCUCAGGGUCCUAGGACCCUCCUCAGUUACAGCCUGCUUGACUCUGAGCCUGAACCUCCAAGAAGCAGACCUAGGAGUACUUAGGCAGCCUCGGGGCCAUGCCCCAUUGAACAGAUGGGGAAACUGAGGCCCAGAGAGACCCAAGGACCGGCUCAGGGUCACAGAUAGGGUUGGGGUGGAGCUGGGACUAGAGCAGAGAUGUGCCAGCUCCUGACUCCAAGUUACCUGAACCACCCCAGAGCUGCUGCUUUAGGGGUCUCCCAGGGGACCCCAGCCUUCUUUCUCCUCCCUCCAUGCUUAAGUGUCCAGUAGGCCCUCCCUGGAAGAAGCCACAAGUAACCACCAGGACACCCUUCACCUCAUUAAAAGCCACAGCAGAAGCCAACCAGGUACAGCCCCCUUCACCCCCAAGUCAACCUCUAAGGAACUGAAAACCUCUAGGUUAAGGCUGAAUAAACUGCACCACUGAGCCUUAA